CUUAUCAAGAGUGGUGGAGGAAACAGGUCCUAUGAAGCCCGGCAACCUGACGAGAGUUAAGGUGCCAGAUCCUGCGGUUUUGAUCCGAAAGAUGAGG
rnacentral:ncRNA from 1 species